rnacentral:rRNA from 1 species
GAUGAACGCUGGCGGCGUGCCUAAUACAUGCAAGUCGAGCGAACGGACGAGAAGCUUGCUUCUCUGAUGUUAGCGGCGGACGGGUGAGUAACACGUGGAUAACCUACCUAUAAGACUGGGAUAACUUCGGGAAACCGGAGCUAAUACCGGAUAAUAUUUUGAACCGCAUGGUUCAAAAGUGAAAGACGGUCUUGCUGUCACUUAUAGAUGGAUCCGCGCUGCAUUAGCUAGUUGGUAAGGUAACGGCUUACCAAGGCAACGAUGCAUAGCCGACCUGAGAGGGUGAUCGACCACACUGGAACUGAUACACGGUCCAGACUCCUACGGGAGGCAGCAGUAGGGAAUCUUCCGCAAUGGGCGAAAGCCUGACGGAGCAACGCAGCGUGAGUGAUGAAGGUCUUCGGAUCGUAAAACUCUGUUAUUAGGGAAGAACAGAUGUGUAAGUAACUGUGCACAUCUUGACGGUACCUAAACAGAAAGCCACGGCUAACUACGU